UAUUUCUUUUUGUGUCCCACAUGGCUUAUGU
rnacentral:piRNA from 1 species